rnacentral:sRNA from 1 species
UGCGCCGUCAUUGGGGAGUAGCCGGUUUCUGAAACCUAAUUCAGAAAUGCUCGUAUCAACAUACUCGUUUUAUAUGCAGGAUAAUUUAUAAAACGUGGUGCGGGCGGCCGAUGGGCAGGCGAGACCAUAGACACGAUGAUCAUCAUGAGGUUGGGGAUGAUCGACGUGGAUAUGGAGAAACACCCAGCCGAGGCU